UACGUAGGUGGCAAGCGUUAUCCGGAUUUACUUGGUGUAAAGGGCGUGUAGGCGGGAAAGCAAGUCAGAUGUGAAAACCAUGGGCUCAACCUGUGGCCUGCAUUUGAAACUGUUUUUCUUGAAUACUGGAGAGGCAGACGGAAUUCCUAGUGUAGCGGUGAAAUGCGUAGAUAUUAGGAGGAACACCAGUGGCGAAGGCGGUCUGCUGGACAGCAACUGACGCUGAGGCGCGAAAGCGUGGGGAGCAAACAGG
rnacentral:rRNA from 1 species